rnacentral:rRNA from 1 species
UCUAGUAACGAUAGCGGAGAGGUCACACCUGUUCCCAUGCCGAACACAGUAGUUAAGCUCUCCAGCGCCCAUGGUAGUUGGGGGGGCUCGCGCCCCCCCUGCGAGAGUAGGACGUUGCUAGGC